rnacentral:rRNA from 2 species
UGGGGAAUAUUGGGCAAUGGACGAAAGUCUGACCCAGCGACGCCGCGUGAGGGAAGAAGGUCUUCGGAUUGUAAACCUCUGUUGAUAGGGAAGAAGAAAGUGACGGUACCUAUCGAGGAAGCCACGGCUAACUACGUGCCAGCAGCCGCGGUAAUACGUAGGUGGCAAGCGUUAUCCGGAAUUACUGGGUGUAAAGGGUGUGUAGGCGGGACUGCAAGUCAGAUGUGAAAACUAUGGGCUCAACCCAUAGCCUGCAUUUGAAACUGUGGUUCUUGAGUGUCGGAGAGGUAAAUGGAAUUCCCAGUGUAGCGGUGAAAUGCGUAGAUAUUGGGAGGAACACCAGUGGCGAAGGCGAUUUACUGGACGACAACUGACGCUGAGACACGAAAGCGUGGGGAGCAAACAGG